GACGAACGCUGGCGGCGUGCUUAACACAUGCAAGUCGAACGGAAAGGCCCUGCUUUUGUGGGGUGCUCGAGUGGCGAACGGGUGAGUAACACGUGAGUAACCUGCCCUUGACUUUGGGAUAACUUCAGGAAACUGGGGCUAAUACCGGAUAGGAGCUCCUGCUGCAUGGUGGGGGUUGGAAAGUUUCGGCGGUUGGGGAUGGACUCGCGGCUUAUCAGCUUGUUGGUGGGGUAGUGGCUUACCAAGGCUUUGACGGGUAGCUGGCCUGAGAGGGUGACCGGCCACAUUGGGACUGAGAUACGGCCCAGACUCCUACGGGAGGCAGCAGUGGGGAAUAUUGCACAAUGGGCGGAAGCCUGAUGCAGCAACGCCGCGUGCGGGAUGACGGCCUUCGGGUUGUAAACCGCUUUCGCCUGUGACGAAGCGUGAGUGACGGUAAUGGGUAAAGAAGCACCGGCUAACUACGU
rnacentral:rRNA from 1 species